rnacentral:lncRNA from 1 species
CUUCAAUUGGAAAUGGAGUCAUCUCAGUUGUAAACAGUUAAGAUGAAGUCAUAUUGGAUUAGGGUGGGUCCCUAAUCCAAUAUGCCUGGUGUCCUCAUAAAAGGGGAAAUUUGGAGACAGGCACACACAAGGGGAGAAUGCCAUGGGAUGAUGAAGGCUGAGAUCAGGGUGAUGUACAAGCCAAGGAAUGGCAGAGAUUGCCAGAAAAUCACCAGAAGCCAGGAGAGAGGCAUAGAAUGGAUUUUCCCUCAGAGCCCUCAGAAAAAAACUAGAUAAUAUCUUGAUUUCUGUACUUCCAUCACUGGGGGGGAGUAAAUUUCUGUUGCAGAUAAAUUUCUUCACAGAUCGCAGCCCUAGUGCACUAAUCUUAAGCCCUCUCCCCUACACUCCACUCACCCUCGCCUUAAAAACUCUGCACUUGGGACUCCCCUUCUGGGGCUGUAAAGAACAGGGAAGGGAGCUGCCUUCCAAGGGCUGGGACAGAGAUCCAGCCAGAGCUCUAUAGAGGAUGCUGGGGCUUUGUGGGGCCAAGAAGACAGGACCUUAAGCAGCACCUUCCUGAUGAGAGUGUGAAUGG